rnacentral:rRNA from 1 species
CACCGGUACUUCUCCGGCCGGGCCUUUCCUUCUUCUGAACCUCAUGCCCUUCACUGGGUGUGGUGGGGAACCAGGACUUUUACUUUGAAAAAAUUAGAGUGUUCAAAGCAGGCGUUUGCUAGAAUACGUUAGCAGGGAAUAAUAGAAUAGGACGUGCGGUCAUAUUUUGUUGGUUUCUAGGACCGCUGUAAUGAUUUAUAGGGACACUCGGGGGCAUCAGUAUUCAAUUGUCAGAGGUGAAAUUCUUGGAUUUAUUGAAGACUAAAUACUGCGAAAGCAUUUCCCAAGGAUGUUUUCUUUUAUCAGUGAACGAAAGUUAGGGGAUAGAAGACGAUCAGACACUGUUGUUGUUUUAACCGUAAACUAUGCCGACUAGGGAUCGGGCGAUGUUCUCAUUUUGACUCGCUCGGCACCUUACGAGAAAUCAAAGUUUUUGGUUUCUGGGGGGAGUAUGGUCGCAAGGCUGAAACUUAAAGAAAUUGACGGAAGGGCCCCCCCAGGCGUGGAGCGUGCGGUUUAAUUUGACUCAACACGGGGAAACUCACCAGGUCCAGAUGAAAUAAGGAUUGACAGAUUGAGAGCUCUUUCUUGAUUUUUCAGGUGGUGGUGCAUGGCCGUUCUUAGUUGGUGGAGUGAUUUGUCUGAUUAAUUGCGAUAACGAACGAGACCUUAACCUGCUAAAUAGCCAGGCUAGCUUUGGCUGGUCGCCGGCUUCUUAGAGGGACUAUCGG